rnacentral:rRNA from 1 species
CCUACGGGUGGCAGCAGUGAGGAAUAUUGGUCAAUGGGAGGAAUCCUGAACCAGCCAUGCCGCGUGCAGGACGACGGCUCUACGAGUGGUAAACUGCGUUUGUACCGGGGUAAAAUGCUCUACGAGAAGGGUUGUGAAAGUACGGUACGAAUAAGGAACGGCUAAAGCCGUGCCAGCAGCCGCGGUAAUACGGAGGUUCCGAGCGUUAUCCGGAUUCAUUGGGUUUAAAGGGUGCGUAGGUUGUUUUAUAAGUUAGCGGUGAAAUACCGAUGCUCACAAUCGGGGCUGCCGCUGAUACUGUAGGACUAGAGAUCGGAUGCAGCAGGCGGAAUGUGUAGUGUAGCGGUGAAAUGCAUAGAUAUUACACAGAACACCGAUUGCGAAGGCAGCUUGCUAGGCCUUAUCUGACACUGAUGCACGAAAGCGUGGGGAUCGAACAGGAUUAGAUACCCUUGUAGUG